rnacentral:rRNA from 1 species
AACUUUCAGCAACGGAUCUCUUGGCKCUCGCAUCGAUGAAGAACGCAGCGAAAUGCGAUAAGUAAUGUGAAUUGCAGAAUUCAGUGAAUCAUCGAAUCUUUGAACGCACCUUGCGCUCCUUGGUAUUCCGAGGAGCAUGCCUGUUUGAGUGUCA